AUCACCUUCUCAAAAAUUAAACAUGCUCUUCUUGUAUAUUUGGCAAUCUGAGAGUCUCAAGUAAACCAGCCAAAGCACUUAAAAGUCCAUUGACAUCUCGGCCAAGCAUGAGCAGUGAAAAUCAUCAUUACUUUUACCAUCAGAACCUCCAAAUCCAUCGCAGAACCACGUUUCUGCCAAUGCUAUGUGCAAGGCCAUCAUCCAUCAAAGAUGUCAGUCUUCCACAAGCAGGAUCCUUUUCCAAUGACCCUUUGUCUCCAAGAAUCGGUUGCAUGGGUCAGGUCAAGAGGCACAACAAAAUAGCUGGACUUCUCACAACCAAAACUAGCACCACCACCCACAUCAUUUCCCCCUCUGUUAAGUAUGCCAAGCUUAAAAAGCUCUUUUCUGGCAAAAACUUAGCCACCACCACCACCACCACCACUAGGCCAAGAGGAACAGAAAACAGUGGAAAUGUGCCCAGGAGCCACAACAAGCACAUGUGUAAGAGGGAUGAGAAUGUUGUUCCCAUAAGCAUUGAAAACAUGGAUCUUCCUCUACCUGUGAUCAAGAGAGUGCAGAAGCCAGAGGAAGAGAGACAAGUGGAUACUCUUUGGAAAAGAAGGUCUGGUGGGGCUGCAUUGAAAACCUUACAACUUCAACAGAUUCAUUGUUCUAGACAUCAUCCUCAGCUUACAACUGUUUGAUGGCUCAUCAGAUAUUCCAGAUGCAAAAUUCUUCUUCUGUUUUUUCCUUUUCUCUUUAAAUUUUUACAUUGGAUAUAAUCUAAAUGGCAUGUUUUUAGUUUUCGUGCUGUUUGAUUUCCCAUGAAGUAUAUAUAUCAUCAUGAAUAGAUCAGAUCAAAGAUCUAGCUUUUCUGUGUGUUCCAAUAUUAAACCUACAAUUGAAGUUUCUGUGUAAAAGUUGCAGGAU